rnacentral:rRNA from 1 species
UUCGUCCUACGGGGGGCAGCAGUUAGGAAUAUUCGUCAAUGGGGGAAACCCUGAACGAGCAAUGCCGCGUGAGUGAUGAAGGUCCUUUGGAUUGUAAAACUCUGUUGUAUGGGAAGAACGACCAGACUAGGAAAUGAGUUUGGAGUGACGGUACCAUGCCAGAAAGCUCCGGCUAACUACGUGCCAGCAGCCGCGGUAAUACGUAGGGAGCGAGCGUUAUCCGGAUUUAUUGGGUUUAAAGGGUGCGUAGGCGGGCUUUUAAGUCAGCGGUAAAAAUUCGGGGCUCAACCCCGUCCGGCCGUUGA